AGCACUGGAUUGCCGUGUUGAUAAGCAGUCUCUCAGUCACAUGAAAGUUGCUAUGUAUAACUUUUUCAGUUAAAUGCCCGUUUUUACUAAAACGUAUUAAUGCCUUUAUGAGCAUAGUACGGGUGAACUAAAACAUCAUAUUAACACAAAACCUAAGGACCUGUGACUCUAUUGUCUAUGGAUUUGUUGUGAUUUGAUACUCUGUAUGUAAACAAAAGCAUUUACAGUGCAUUCGGAAAGUAUUCGACCCCUUGACUUUUUCCACAUUUUGCUAUGUUAACCAAGUUGAAUUCUUCCCAAAGGGUGGUUCCAGCUGUAAUUCACACAAAAACAUGUUCUCACCAUCACAAGUAUAUAUACUCUACUCUGGACUUGCUAUCCAAGCUCCAAUUCACAAAUUCAGUUGAAAUGACUAGGAAACCAUAAUAUUGACCAAAAACGUGCCUGGAGGACAGUCAUACACUUCAGGCUGUGCAUGACUGCCGUUAUCGUCAUGGCUGAAAUGUCAUCUUGUUUGUUAAUCGGCUGUGAGAGGUGUGGAUGGGUGGGGCAAGUACAGUAGCUGCAGAAAGAGUAUAAAACAGAGCUGCAGAGGGCAGAGAGACACCACACUACUACUGAAGACCAGAAGACAUCUUCCAGAUAAACAGCCAUCAAUCAGACAGCAUCGUCCAACUGUAAGAGUAAACGAUGAAGAUCCAGAGUAUGUUACUGCUGUUCGCUCUAGUGGGAGUCCUGUUGGCAAGCUCCCUCAAUGAAGAUAACUCUGAGAAAGCUCUAAUGCAGGAGGAUAAUCUAAAAGGUGGAAAGGCUGACUUUUUGGCAAAGUUGGCUGCUCUGAAGACCAGCGCCUCUGAAGAUGAAGCACCAUCUUGGGGCGAUCUUUGGAACAAAGUCAAGGAAAUUGCUGGGUGAGAACCGACCAGAAUGGGGAUGCCGAGGAUCCAUCUCACUCCUCAUAUCAAAUCAGCUAUCUCUGACAUCAUCACUAACAUUAACUCAAUGAAUCAUUCCAACAUCCAUCCAACAGUCAUUAACUAACAUAAAAACAAAACAGUAAUACAGUUCUUGGGACUUUGGUACUGAGAAGAACUCAUCAACAUUCUGAAGAAUAUAUGUUUUAUACAAAAACAUGAACUAAGUACUGAUACAUGAUAGUGGAUAAAAAAUUAUGAUCAGAAUUUCUGGUGGCAAUGUUGUAUGGUUGAUGUGUCAUAUUGUGAUCCUUCAAUAAACUAUAGAGCAUUA